rnacentral:rRNA from 1 species
CCUGGCUCAGGACGAACGCUGGCGGCGUGCCUAACACAUGCAAGUCGAGCGGGGAAUAUUGAGUAGCUUGCUGCUUGGUAUUUCUAGCGGCGGACGGGUGAGUAACGCGUGAGCAACCUGCCUUUAUCAGGGGGAUAACGCAUCGAAAGAUGUGCUAAUACCGCGUAAGACCACAGCUUCACAUGGAGCAGGGGUCAAAGGAGCAAUCCGGAUAAAGAUGGGCUCGCGUCCGAUUAGCUAGUUGGUGAGAUAACAGCCCACCAAGGCGACGAUCGGUAGCCGACCUGAGAGGGUGAUCGGCCACAUUGGAACUGAGAAACGGUCCAGACUCCUACGGGAGGCAGCAGUGGGAAUAUUGGGCAAUGGGCGAAAGCCUGACCCAGCAACGCCGCGUGAGGGAAGAAGGGUUUCGGCUCGUAAACCUCUGUCCUAUGGGACGAAGGAAGUGACGGUACCAUAGGAGGAAGCCCCGGCUAACUACGUGCCAGCAGCCGCGGUAAUACGUAGGGGGCGAGCGUUGUCCGGAAUGAUUGGGCGUAAAGGGCGCGUAGGCGGCCUGCUAAGUCUGGAGUGAAAGUCCUGCUUUCAAGGUGGGAAUUGCUUUGGAUACUGGUGGGCUGGAGUGCAGGAGAGGAAAGCGGAAUUACCGGUGUAGCGGUGAAAUGCGUAGAGAUCGGUAGGAACACCAGUGGCGAAGGCGGCUUUCUGGACUGAAACUGACGCUGAGGCGCGAAAGCGUGGGGAGCAAACAGGAUUAGAUACCCUGGUAGUCCACGC